CACUGAGCUUGUGGUUCUUUUGGUCUGCUGUUUUCCGCUUGUGUCUGUUUGCUGACUAGUCAAAGGCACAGAGGUAACUGAGGCUGCAGGAUUACAAAAUUACAAUGAACACAAUGCAUUUUAGGUCAUCGCUGCUUUUGUGUCUCUUUGGUGUUGGAUUUGCAAAAGUACAAGUAGUGCAAUAUUCAUUGGAAGAGAAAUAUGAAGUUGGCCACACCGCAGUAAUUUACUGCAACUUAACUAAGGAUAAAGAAACCGUCAGGAGCUGUACAAUGAUCUGGAAAGUUCAGGACGAAAACUCAAACAACCGUGUAGCUAUCACAGACAAAGAAAAAUACAACAAAAGAGUGAACGGUAUAUCCGAGCACUAUUUUAGCUCAUUGACUAUAAGCGACCUCAGUCUUACAGACACUGAAAAAAUCGUGUGCACAGCAACAUGUUUUGUAGAUGAGAAGCUCCGAUACAUGACUGGUAAUUGGACAGUUAUCACAUUAACAGAAAAAGAGCCAACACCUGCCCUUCCAUGGUUGAAAUACCUUAUUAUCUCUAUCAAUCUUCUAAUUUUCACUGUUGCAUUGGGCAUAUGUGUAUUGAUCGUGCGAAGGAUGAGAAGACGAAAAUGAGACGAAACGUAAUUUGGUUUUACAUUCUCUUGAAGAGAAAAUGCGUUGAAUUCAAGAAAAGGUAUUUUGAUUAAAGAAUUGCAGAGGUAGUCAAAUUAGUUAUUGGGGGAAUAGUGAAAGACCAAAAUGCUAGUGUGCCAGUAAUGGAAGUUUUAGAAGGUGUAUUGCAGCAUUACAUGUUAAAAAUUGAAGCCGAAUGGCAACACAGCUAAGCAACAUUUUAAUUCGCUUUGUUUUACAGCCGCAUAUGUUCCGCAUUAUUUGUUCCCUUAUUCUUGCAUAUGUUUAUUGUUUUUAAUAGUGUAUUAAAAAAAAAUCAAAGCUGGAUUUCA